GAUACGCGAGGAACCUUACCUGGCUUAAUGGGAGUGCAGCUGUCGAAAGAUGGUUUUCUUCGGUACACUCUUCAAGGUGCUGCAUGGUUGUCGUCAGCUCGUGCCGUGAGGUGUCGGGUUAAGUCCCAUAACGAGCGCAACCCUUACCGUUAGUUACCAUCAGGUUUAAGCUGGGGACUCUAGCGGGACUGCCACCGUAAGGUGAGAGGAAGUGGGGAUGACGUCAAAUCAGCACGGCCCUUAUGUCCAGGGCUACACACGUGUUACAAUGGCCAGUACAAAGGGCAGCUACCGGGUGACCGGAUGCUAAUCUCUAAAGCUGGUCUCAGUUCGGAUCGAAGUCUGCAACCCGACUUCGUGAAGCUGGAUUCGCUAGUAAUCGCGCAUCAGCCAUGGCGCGGCCGAAUACGUUCCCGGGCCUU
rnacentral:rRNA from 1 species